AUUCUCUAAUAGGAAAUGGCAAGGUCAUUACAUUACCUACAUAAAGAUGAUCUGGACUGAAAAAAUAUACCUUGAAUGCUUCUGUAUGAUAAAAUUUUGAAGAUAGUUUUCCGUUUGAUUCUUUUAAGUGUUGUCCAUUUUUCAUGUAGUUCUCUGCAUGUGAGUCUUUCAACCAACCAUUGAUAACAUGAAAUUAUAUCACAUUUGAAGACUUAAUUCAAUUAGAUUAUAUUAUCAUUUACUUUAAUUUAUCCCAUUUUAUCAGAUAUUAUGCAGUAUUUCUUUUCUAUUUACAUCAGGUACCCAUUUUGAAGCAAAAGUGAAAAAGGGAAGAAAAGGAGGUGUAGAAAGGAGUAAAAAGGAAACAAAUAUCAAAGACCAAGCCCAGCCCAAAAGAAAGCGCACGUUGUGCCUGUGACGGGCGUCACAAGGGUUGUGACGAGCGUCACACUAGAAGCAUCCCUGUGACGAGCGUCACACAUGGUGUGACGAGCGUCACACCAUUCCACUAGCUUUUUGGCGCAAGUCACGCUCUCAGAAGAAUUGAAGAAGAACGUUGAGAGAGUUCGUGUCCUAUGCCCACGCCGUGUAUUUAGCCAUGCUGAAGACUCGUGGGAAACGGAAUGCAGUUACCAAGGCUAUUAUAAAUAGCCAUCUCACAAACCUAAAAAAGUCUCAGUUUUUGCACGCUCAGUUUGCCGAAGCUCUGCCAAAUUUUCUUUUCACGCCUUUGCUUAUUUUUCUUCCUUUCCAGCAACUUAGCAUUGUUUAUUUUAUUUAUUUCUUUUGCAAGCUUUACAUUCUUUUUCCCUUGCAAAUUUACCUUUCCAGUUUUAGCUUUUAGAUAUUUUUCGCAUAAUAGUUUCUACACCGGAAACUAUUGUGCAACUUUAUACCGGAUUUAACCUUACGUUAUAUUCCAGUUUUAUUUCCUUGAUUUAAUUUACUGUCUAAUUGAAGAAUCCAAGAACAAAUCCUACCGGCUUGUGGUGGAGUGUUCAAGACCAUUGUAUUACGCAUUCAGGUUCUUUAAUUGUUAUUUAAUUUUUAAUGUUUUAUUCUAUUGUUUAUUCAUAUUGCCUGCCUGGAAUGAGUCUGUUUAUGCAUGAUAUAAAUUCUUAUUUAUUUAGCAUGUCUGGCUAAUUUGCCUAGGUAUCGGUAUGUAAAGUAAGCAGAAUAAGGGAUCAAGACUGAGUCGGUCUAUUUAAACUUAAAAUCAAAAUCAAUCUUUUUACGGUUUCAACUUACAGGUUUAAUAACAAGAUUUUUUACAAAAGUAAAAGACAUAAAGAAGUUAAAAUCAAUAGAGCGAGAGUUUGAGAUUUUAACUGGACAGUGUAAGUUAGGCAUUAAUUCUAGAUCAGGGCGAGAGCAAGUUUUAGAGUUAAUUAAAUUCUGACCUUUUCCAAAAAGUAUUUUUAAAGAUUGAAUGUGAGGACGAGAGUUAAGCAUUUGGAUUUAAUUAUAUAACCUAAGUCAACAGAGCGAGAGUUUGAGAUAAGGGUGUUUAAAACGGUCAGUAUUUUCUUAAAAAGAGUUUCUGCAACUUUAUUGUUUUCAAAAUAUGGUUUUUGACUUAAUUAUAAGUGACAGCAACAUUAAUAUAAAAUCAUGGUUUAUUCAACAGAGCGAGAGUUUGAGAUAGAACCUUUAACCAAUAAAGUUAACCGAAACGAUUCAUUUUAAAACCAAGAAACCGACAAAGACUUGAUUCCCUAGUUUUGACGAACUACAUACCGAUAUCCGUUUUAUUGAUAUUUAAUCUAGAUAUUAGUUUAGCUCUUAGUUUUUCCCCAAACAAUCAAACAUUUUCACCUUAGAUUUACGUAGUAACCUUAGAUAACGGUAUAUCGAUUCAUAAGUCCCUGUGGGAUCGAUAUCUUUUAAAACUACGCGAUAGAACUGUGCACUUGCAGUUUGUAUCCCAUUCUCGACUCACCCAGUCGAGCGAUCAAGUUUUUGGCGCCGUUGCCGGGGACUUUUAUUCAAUCGAUAUCGUAACUCUUCCGUUACGCUGUAGAGACUAAGGUUUCUUUUUCUUCUAUUUUCUUUCUUUCGUUGAUUUGUAUGCCACGCACUCGCUCUCAAGGCGAACCGCUCUAUUUACGAAUCAACGAUAUCGAACUAUAUCUCCGAGUCUUACGACGAAUUCGGGAAUAUCGUGCUGAAAACAAUCUCCCUCCUAUAGACCUUCCAGAUUUCAAAAACAUUUUUCCUUCUUUAACCGAGAUGGCAGAACCAGCUCGUGCUCUUAGAGAUUACGCCGCUCCAUCGCAAGAUGAACCGCAUUCAAGUAUUGCUCCGCCCGCAAUCGAAGCAAACAACUUUGAACUUAAACCUUCGUUGUUGCAGGCUGUGCAACAGAACCAAUUCUCUGGAAAUCUUACCGAAGAUCCAAACCUUCAUUUAUCCGUAUUUGUCCAAUACGCUGAUACUGUUAAAGCUAAUGGUGUCACUUCAGAGGCAAUUCGACUUCGUCUUUUUCCUUUCUCAUUAAGAGAUAGCGCUAGAAGAUGGCUUCAAUCUCUUCCUUCCAACUCAGUCACCACAUGGAACGAGUUGAAGAAAGUUUUUCUUGCCCGAUAUUUUCCGCCAAGCAAAACAGCUAUGUUAAGAGCCCAGAUAAACGGAUUUAAACAGAAAGACAACGAGUCUCUUUUCGAAGCAUGGGAAAGAUACAAAGACAUGAUGAGACUUUGCCCACACCAUGGUUUGGAAGACUGGUUAGUAAUUCACACAUUUUAUAAUGGUCUCUUAUACAAUACAAGGUUAACAAUAGACGCCGCUGCAGGUGGUGCACUAAUGAACAAACCUUAUGCUGAUGCUUACCAGCUUAUCGAGAGCAUGGCCCAAAACCACUAUCAGUGGGGAACCGAACGAACAAAUGUGGAAAAACCUCAACCGAAAACUGGCAUGUACGAGAUAAGUAACCUUGAUCACGUCAAUGCAAAAGUGGAUGCUUUGGUCCAGAAAAUUGAAAGUUUAAACGUAUCACCUCCAGCAGCCGUGGUUGCUAUAACUCAGAAUUGCGAGGUCUGUGGAAUCCAAGGCCACACUCCUGCGGAAUGUCAACUCUUGACUGGAAUCCAAGCAGAGCAAGUAAACUAUGCUCAAGGAAGCCCCUAUUCGAAUACCUAUAACCCAAAUUGGAAGAACCAUCCAAACUUCUCAUAUAAGAGUAAUAAUGCUUUAUACGCACCUGGACAGUCUCCAAAUCAAGCCCCAUCUAUACCUCCGGGAUAUCAGAAACCGAAUCCUAACAAUAAUACCCCUAGAAAAUCCAACUUGGAAAUCAUGAUGGAAAACUUUAUAGCUUCCCAACAACAAACCAAUAAAGAUUUCUUAAACCAGAACAUACACACUGGCGAACAACUUAAACAACUAGCAAGCAAAGUAGAUGCCUUGGCUACCCAUAACAAAAUGCUGGAAACGCAAAUAUCUCAAGUAGCUCAACAACAAGCACCUACUGCUGCACCAACUGGUACAUUCCCUGGACAGCCCCAACCCAAUCCGAGAAGCCAAGCUCAUGCAAUUAUAUUAAGAAGUGGAACGGAAGUGGAAGGACCGUCUGACCCAAGGAUAGAAAACCAAAACCCUAAGAAAUCUACUGAGGAAAGUGAACCUAAGGAAAAGGAAGAGAGUAAUAAGGAAACCCUAGAAAAGAAGGAACCUUAUGUACCUCCACCACCUUACAAACCACCUAUACCUUACCCUCAAAGGCUUGUUAAAACCAAAGAUGUAGGCCAAUUUAGAAAAUUUGUUGAUCUCCUUAAACAAUUAAACGUUACAAUUCCGUUUACCGAAGCUAUUACGCAGAUGCCCUCAUAUGCUAAAUUCUUAAAAGAAAUUCUUUCUAAUAAGAGGAAACUUGAGGAUAGCGAAACCGUUACACUCCCUGCCGAAUGUAGCGCUAUAAUCCAAAACAUGCCCCCUAAACUCAAGGAUCCGGGUAGUUUCUCUAUACCCUGUCACAUAGGAAAAUUUGUCAUCGACAAAGCCUUAUGCGAUUUAGGAGCCGGAAUUAGCGUUAUGCCUUUAUCCAUAUGUAAGAAACUGGAAAUGGGAGAAUUAAGACCGACCAAAAUGUCUGUGCAAUUAGCAGAUCGUUCCAUCAAAUAUCCUGUAGGAAUCCUUGAAAACGUUCCCGUACGCAUAGGUCAGUUUUACAUUCCCACUGACUUCACAAUUAUGGACAUUAGAGAAGAUGAUACUACACCUAUUAUACUAGGAAGACCAUUCUUAGCAACUGCCGGUGCAAUCAUAGACGUAAAACGAGGACGACUCACCUUCGAAGUAGGUGAAGAGAAAAUUGAAUUCAUUCUUUCCCAAUUCUUGAAAGCACCUGCAAUAGAAGAUACAUGUUACUUCAUGGAUAUCAUCGAUGAAUGCAUAAAAGAAGCAGAGUCAGGAGAAGACAAAUCAUCAGACUAUCUUUUAGAGGACAAAUCUAAACAAUGCCUAGCAAUAACACCGGAUCCUACGCAGUGUCUUAACAAACCAACCCCUGAUUUGAAAACACUUCCCAAAAAUCUGAGAUAUGAAUUCCUAGACUUAGAACUUGAACGACCUGUGAUAGUUAAUGCAGAUCUAGGAAGACUCGAAACAGAAAAACUCCUACAUAUCUUAAGAAAAUAUCCAACCGCACUAGGAUACCACAUCACCGAUCUUAAAGGAAUAAGCCCUUCUAUUUGUAUGCACCGCAUCAUGUUAGAAGAAGACUGUAAAACCUCUAGGGAACACCAGAGAAGACUAAAUCCGAUCCUAAGUGAGGUAGUAAAGAAAGAAAUAACCAAGUUAUUGGAAGCAGGUAUUAUAUAUCCUAUAUCUGAUAGCAAAUGGGUUAGUCCUGUACACGUUGUACCAAAGAAAGGAGGCAUAACCGUUAUUGAAAACGAAAAAGGAGAAACUAUAACUAAACGAAUCGAAUCGGGAUGGAGAAUGUGCAUUGAUUAUAGGAAACUAAACAAAGCAACCCGAAAAGAUCAUUUCCCUUUACCAUUCAUUGACCAAAUGUUAGAACGAUUAGCUAAACAUUCACAUUUCUGUUAUUUAGACGGUUAUUCAGGCUUCUUUCAAAUACCAAUUCACCCUGAUGACCAAGAAAAGACAACGUUCACGUGCCCUUUUGGUACCUUCGCUUAUAGACGAAUGCCGUUUGGUCUGUGUAAUGCCCCUGCAACUUUUCAAAGAUGCAUGAUGGCAAUAUUCGCCGACUUUCUCGAAAACAUCAUGGAAGUAUUUAUGGAUGACUUUUCUGUAUACGGACAAAGUUUCGAAGAAUGCCUUGAAAACCUGGAAAGAGUUCUGGAGCGAUGUGUAAAAGUAAACUUAGUACUUAAUUGGGAAAAGUGCCACUUUAUGGUACAAGAAGGAAUUGUUUUAGGACACAUCAUCUCGAACAGAGGAAUUGAAGUAGACAAAGCCAAAAUAGAGGUAAUCGAAAAUCUUCAACCCCCAAGAACCGUGAGAGAAGUACGAAGCUUUUUAGGACACGCCGGUUUUUACCGACGAUUCAUCAAAGACUUCUCUAAGAUAACUAAACCCUUAACCGGACUGUUGAUGAAAGAUGCUGAAUUCAUAUUCGACGAUAACUGUUUAAAAGCAUUUCAAACUCUUAAACAAGCAUUGAUCUCCGCACCCAUUAUGCAGACACCAGACUGGAAUGAACCAUUCGAAAUAAUGUGCGAUGCCAGUGAUUAUGCUGUAGGUGCUGUUUUAGGACAAAGAAAGGAUAAAAAGCUUCACGUUAUAUAUUACGCUAGCAGAACCCUGGAUGAAGCACAGAUGAAUUAUGCCACAACCGAGAAAGAACUCCUAGCAGUGGUAUUUGCGCUAGAUAAAUUUCGUUCUUACUUGGUAGGAGCCAAAAUAAUAGUUUACACUGAUCACGCUGCUAUCAGGUACCUUUUAACAAAAAAGGAUGCUAAACCUAGACUCCUAAGAUGGAUCUUGUUACUACAAGAAUUCGACUUAGAAAUCAAGGACAAGAAAGGAACUGAAAACGUAGUAGCAGACCACCUCUCUAGACUUGAGAACCUUGAACCAGAAAGAACAUCCAUUAAUGAUGAUUUCUCGUAUGAUAAACUCAUAGCUACUUUGGAAGAGAACAACUCCGACAUGCAAGUAGAAACCACCUUAGCUAUAUCUGUCAUACCAUGGUACGCUGAUCUAGUCAAUUAUUUAGCUGCCGGAAUAGUUCCACCUACUUUAUCUUACCAGCAGAAGAAACGAUUCUUCCACGACAUAAAACACUAUUACUGGGAUGAUCCCUUACUUUUCAAAAGAGGCCCCGAUGGUAUUUUCCGUCGAUGUAUACCCGAAGAAGAGGUAGAAAAUAUAAUCCAACACUGUCACUCUGCGCCUUAUGGUGGACACACAAGUACAUCCAAGACCUGCUCUAAAAUCCUACAAGCUGGCUUUUAUUGGCCAACUAUAUGGAAGGACGUACAUGCGGCUAUUAAGGAGUGUGACAGAUGUCAACGCACGGGAAACAUAUCUAGACGUGACGAGAUGCCACAAAAAGGUAUUUUGGAAGUAGAGAUUUUUGACGUGUGGGGGAUAGACUUCAUGGGACCUUUUCCAUCCUCUUUCGGUAACAAAUACAUACUCGUGGCAGUUGACUACGUAUCAAAAUGGAUCGAAGCUAUAGCUUCUCCAACAAAUGACACCCGAGUAGUAACUAGACUCUUUAAAAAUAUAAUAUUUCCGAGAUUUGGCAUCCCAAGAAUAGUAGUCAGUGAUGGUGGAUCACACUUUAUAUCCAAGGUACUCGAAAAACUACUACUUAAAUAUGGAGUGAGACAUAGGAUAGCAACACCUUACCACCCUCAAACCAGUGGACAAGUGGAAGUAUCUAACAGAGAAAUCAAGCAAAUACUAGAAAAAACGGUCGCCACUUCAAGGAAAGAUUGGUCAUUGAAAUUACCAGAAGCUUUAUGGGCAUACCGAACUGCUUAUAAAACUCCCAUAGGGACGACCCCAUUUAAGCUCAUUUAUGGAAAAUCCUGUCACCUCCCGGUAGAAUUAGAACAUAAAGCCUAUUGGGCUAUUAGAAAUUUAAAUUUGAAUUAUAAAGCCGCCGGUGAAAAGAGAAUCCUUGACAUAAACGAAUUAGAGGAACUCAGAAGAGACGCCUAUGAAAAUGCCAAAAUCUAUAAAGAAAGAACAAAACAAUGGCAUGACAAGCGUAUAUCAAGGAAAAUCUUCAAGCAAGGCGACGCAGUACUUUUAUUUAACUCUAGACUAAAGUUAUUCCCGGGAAAACUACGAUCCAGAUGGUCAGGACCUUUUCAUAUCACUAAAAUCUUUCCCAGUGGAGCGGUAGAAAUAAAAGGACAAUCUACAGAACCGUUCACCGUAAACGGGCAACGUCUGAAACAUUAUCACUAUGCGGAAACCAACGAGGAUUCGCAAAUUCUACACUUAGACGAAACGCCCCCAGGACUCAUAGACUAUAUUUAACAGUUUCUUUGUCGAGCUUGCGACAUUUAAACAAAGCGCUUAGUGGGAGACAACCCACAAAUUAAUCUGUUAUUUUAUUAUUCUAUUAUUAUUAUCAUUUCCCUAUUUUUCUCUUAAUUAUUCUUUUAAUUUCUAUUUAGUAUUCAUUAUUGAUUUAUUCAAAAAGAAAAAAAAAAAUAUCCAUAUAAUAAUAAUAAUUCUUUUUUUCUUUCGGCAUUUGGCCAAAUCCUGACUUAAACUCAUGUUUUCUUUUCUCUAGUUAACACUAACCAGAUGGGACAUUUUGACCGUAUGGGUAUCAAGUUCAGAGGAAUGGCUCAGAAACGAAGGUUUGAAGAACUAGCCGCUAGAGAGAUGCUACCUAGUUUAUAUGCUGAUGAUUGGGCUAUGACUGCCCUUGGACUGAGACAGAGUGUCCUGUUUUUGCUGAAUCAGAUAGGAUGGGAGACCUCCCCUAUCCUGAGACAUUUCACCACCUACCGGAGACUCACACUAGAAUUCCUUAGUUCAUUAAUCUAUCUACCUAGCCAUGGAAAAGGAAUUAGCAGAGGUUUUAUCCAGUUCAGAAUGUUCAAUAUGGAGUACCAAUUUAAUAUUAGAGACUUCACCAACCUUUUGGGUUUUCCUACCUCCUUUGAUACAUUCACUGUAAGCCAGGAAGAACUUUUUGAAUAUAGAGAGCUUGAACACUUUUGGGGUAAGCUGACUGGAAAUGAUGAGCCCGAAGAACAUGAGUUUCUCUCUGGAAACAUACAUAACCCGGCUUUUCGCUAUUUCCAUAAGAUCCUGACCCACACUUUAUUUGGGAAGAAGCCAAAUAGUACUUCAGUUUCACGUGAUGAACUCUUCAUCAUAUUUUGUGCUUCCCAGAACCGUCCAGUAAACGGUGCUACUUUUAUGUUAGCUAAUUUGGACCACCUUAUCCAGGAUGAGCGAGCACCCAUUAGAAUAGGCGGUUUGAUCACUAUGAUAGGUAAUGCUAUUGGAUUACGUCAGCCUAUGCUUGACCUUAGCCCUUUUUGUGGCAUUACUACUAUGAGUAUACCCUUCCUCUUCAACACUAUGUUUAUAGCAAACAUAGGGUCUGAUGAGUUUGAGCUUAUUAUUGAUAACCAGGUUCUCUGCCUAUUCACCAUGCCCGAUCCUAGAACUAGUGUUCAUAACCAAAGGAACUGGCUCUAUAACCUGAAUGAAACCCCAACUCCUGCUGGAUCCACUGAAUCCAUCCAGGAUUAUGAGAUUUGUGAUGACUAUGAGCACUAUGUUGACCAUAUCUCUCUUGCUGAAUCUGACCCUCAGACUCCAUCCGGCUACUAUGAUAUUGAUCCUCCUCCUCAGCCUGUCCUGACCGAAGAAUCAGCUAUGCCUGAUCUCCGACAUCAUAUGCCAGGAACAGAUAUUAAAACCGUCAUUGAAGCCUUGAUGUCAGAACAAGACGCCCUCAGGGAAGAUUUCCACAGCUUGAGACUUGCAGUCCUAGAACACAUGAGCAGCACGGCAAGUCAGUUACGUAUGUUACGGCAUCAUGUUAACUCUUUUGCUCCUCCGGCCAGAGAUCCGAAGAUAGAUGGAAUUUAGUUAUUUUUUUCUCAGUUAUUUAGUUUUAGGCUAGAUUUUUCAUUAAUGUUAUUUGAAUUCAUGUUUAUUUCUAUUUCAUUUCAUUGUUUUCUUUCACUGUAAUACAUUAUGAUCAUUUUUAUUGAAGCUGUUUAGUUAAUUUUAUUAUGCAAUGGCUAUUAUGCUCUACUGUUGUUACCUAUUAUUAUUAUACAAAGCAAGUAAGCGUGCACAAUACAUUAAAACUGCAGACUAAAAAUGAUCAUAAGCAAAAUGAAACAUUAAAAUACGCUACCAAAGUAAUUCUGUGAAGCGCUACUGAAGCCUUGCCAAAAAGGACUGUGUGACGAGCGUCACACACUCCAUGACGAACGGCACGCAAAACGCCUGUUACGAACGUCACAGCCUUGUGACGAGCGUAACGCCCCUCAGACAUGUGAACGUUAGGGAGCCGUUGGAGACGAACGUUACACUUUAAUUUUUUUCUUCCCCAUUCAUUUUUUCGUUUACCACACUUAAUUACUCUUCAACCACUUUUUCUUUCUACCUUCCAAUCCUUCUCCUAUAAAUACCUACCAAAACUUCCUUCAUUCACCACAAAACAAUUCUCUCAUAUCAAAUACAUUUCUUUUCCUUUCCAAAUCAUCCCUUCAAAAAUUCAUCACAAUGGCGGGAAAUCAAAAUUUCGGAAAUAUCAUCUUCCGAUCCGGAGAUGACAACUAUCAGCAAGAGCAAUUCGAGCGCUUCCAACAGCGAGGCGUCGCUUCCACCAGGUACCCCGAUUUAACUUGUUUACAACAAUUAGGCUUACUCCAAGGUAUCGAGUGGAUGCUCCGUAAAGCCGAUUUAACCUUCCUUUGCACUCAUAACCAACCCACCUACCCUUCCCUAACCUUAGAAUUCCUAAGUUCUUACGACUACACCACUCCCGCCGGUGAAGGUGAAUUUCUAACCGGUACGGCAACCUUCCGUAUGUUUAACACCGAGUACUCUCUAACCCAACGCGAAUUGAGUGCCAUGCUACAAUUUCCCACAGAAGGUCUGCUGCAUGCCAGAAUCCCUCCAACCUCAAACUGGAACACAGUUCUAGUUUUCGACCUUUUUAAGAAAAUUUCCGGUAUAAAUACCUACAACUGGGAAGAACUCCUUCUCUCCCACAUCCAUAACCCCACCAUCCGUUAUUUUCUCCGUAUCCUGCAAAACACACUUUUUGGAAGACCAAACAACAGUAAGGUUAACUCGAAGGAGUUAUUUUUCCUCCAGUGCGUUUUCGAACCGGAUACUAAGGUAAACGCCGCCUCUUUUCUCUUUCAUCAUAUCCGCACCUUAUGUGCUAGAGGCCGGCAACCCUUUAUAAUUGGUGGAUUAAUAACCUCCAUAGCACUUGGCCUGAACCUAGGGGAUAAACUCCAAACUUUAGAAUCCCUACCUCCCCUGUCUAUGGAUAUCAGCUAUUGCCGCUCCAGCCGCCUGAUUAAAAACAGAGUAGGCGGAGGCUAUUAUCUUAUGGUGAACAACCAAGCAGUCCCGAGUGUUGUGCUACCCAAUACCACCCUAACUGAUGUCACAAACCCCGACCGCCACCUCUACGAUCUUAGCGCUCCUGAAACCACCGAGCCUUCACAAACAAACCAGCAAACAGAUGAGUUUGAAGAAAUGGAACAAGGUGAUCAUCCGCCAACACAACAAUCAGUCCCGCUAAACCCUUCCAGUAAUGCAGCCGGCCCAUCCUCCCAACGUCGUCGACGAAGACGACCUGCGACCAACGACGACAUUAUGGAUGCUAUCGAUGGUAUGCAGGCACAGAAUGCAGACAUGAUGCAGAUGAUGCGUCAAAUGCAACAGCAACAGGAUGCUCGGAAUGCCAUAACCGACCAGCGGUUUACUGAGUUGUUUAGCAGAUUCGACAGCUUAGACAUACGUCAAAGAUCACCAGGACCAAGAACCAGAGGUGGAAGGCAGCCUUAGUUGUAUUUUUCUUUUCUUCUCCAUUUUGUAUUUCUUUCCCUUAAAACAUCGAGGACAAUGUUUAGUUCAAGUAUGGGGGGGAAACAUUAUUCUUUCCAUUCUCAUCUUUGUUUCAAGUAUGUACUCUCCCUUUUCAUUGUUAUUUCCCUAUAAAAAAAAAAAAAAAAAAAAAAAAAAAUAACUUUUUAAGUUAAGUCCUGAAUGUGAAAAAUUUUCUAUUAUCUAUUUCCCUCAACUUUCUUGAGCCAUAACAAAAAUUUUAACACACCCAAUAAGUAUAAAGGUUGCUUACUUUAUAAAAUUUGAGUGAAAUCAAAACAAAAUCAUUACCAUAACAACGCUCUGAGAACCUCAAUAUGUUAGAUCAGGAUAAGUACCUAUUAUACCGAUUCCUUGAACUUUUAGUUCUAUGGCAACCCCAAGUAGUUUAUACAGAAGUCAGCACCAUCUUAAUAGCAAACUACGUGGAGAGCCGAUGAAUAUAAGUGAAUGAUCCCCAAAGUAACCUAAGAUAUAUAAAUAUAUCAAGAAAUGCACUAAUUAAAUUAGGUGAUCCUUACCAGAUCAUUUAAUCUAAAGGUUGCAGAUCAUGCAAAAGCACAAUACGAAAGAUCCAUUAUGAGUUGGUUCAGUAGGAAUCUGGUACUGAACUUGGUAGGGCGGACUACGGUUCGAUCCCCCGCAAUUUGCAAUGGACUGAAUAAUGAAGUUAUCCGACUUAUGUACCAGAACUUCUAGCUAAAAGCGGAUCAUAAUCACUAACCGGUUACUCCACUAUGUGCGCGAAAAGAUAAAGGGCUUAAUGUGAUUUCGCUAGAAUGAAAACGGGUAAAAUAAGACUAAAGGAACCAGGAUAGCUAUCAUAGGGUACUUGAACUGAUUGGCAUAAGGUAGGGUUAUCUAAGUUGUAACGGUAGUUGUUGAUGUCAAGAUUAAACUCAAGUCCUCCUAAACAAAAAUCCAUUUGCAACCUAGUACGAAUUGAUGUGUGCUUUGAAAUUUCAUCUGGCUAAAACUUUUAACAAGUUCUAUACUGAAUUUUGCUUGAGGACAAGCAAAGAUUUAAGUAUGGGGGAGUUUGAUAACACGAAAUUAUAUCACAUUUUAAGACUUAAUUCAAUUAGAUUAUAUUAUCAUUUACUUUAGUUUAUCUCAUUUUAUCAGAUAUUAUGCAGUAUUUCCUUGCUAUUUAUGUCAGGUAUCCAUUUUGAAGCAAAAGUGAAAAAGGGAAGAAAAGGAGGUGUAAAAAGGAAUAAAAAGGAAACAAAUAACAAAGACCAAGCCCAGCCCAAAGAAAGUGCACGUUAUGCCUGUGACGGGCGUCACAAGGGUUGUGACGAGCGUCACACUAAAAGCACCCCUGUGACGAGCGUCACACAUGGUGUGACGAGCGUCACACCAUUCCACUAGCUUUUUGGCGCAAGUCACGCCCUCAGAAGAAUUGAAGAGACGUUGAGAGAGUUCGUGUCCUAUGCCCACGCCGUGUAUUUAGCCAUGCUGAAGACUCGUGGGAAACAAAAAGCAGUUAGAAGCACUACUAUAAAUAGCUACAUUAGAAACCUAAAAGGGUUCCGCUUCCUCUCCCCUCUUUUGCCGUCUACUCUGCCGAAGCUUUUCAAACCUUCUGUUUUAGCUUUUGCUUAUUUUUCUUUUCCAGCAUUGUUUAUUUUAUUUAUUUCUUUUGCAAGCUUUACAUUCUUUUUCCCUUGCAAAUUUACCUUUCCCGUUUUAGCUUUUAGAUAUUUUUCGCAUAAUAGUUUCUACACCGGAAACUAUUGUGCAACUUUAUACCGGAUUUAACCUUACGUUAUAUUCCAGUUUUAUUUCCUUGAUUUAAUUUACUGUUUAAUUGAAGAAUCCAAGAACAAAUCCUACCGGCUUGUGGUGGAGUGUUCAAGACUAUUGUAUUACGCAUUCAGGUUCUUUAAUCAUUAUUUAAUAUUUUGUUUUAUUAUUUAUCUAUAUUAUCUGCCUGGAAUGAGUCUGUUUAUGCAUGAUAUAAAUUCUUAUUUAUUUAGCAUGUCUGGCUAAUUUGCCUAGGUAUCGGUAUGUAAAGUAAGCAGAAUAAGGGAUCAAGACUGAGUCGGUCUAUCUAAACUUAAAAUCAAAAUCAAUCUUUUUACGGUCUCAACUUACAGGUUUAAUAACAAGAUUUUUUACAAAAGUAAAAGACAUAAAGAAGUUAAAAUCAAUAGAGCGAGAGUUUGAGAUUUUAACUGGACAGUGUAAGUUAGGCAUUAAUUCUAGAUCAGGGCGAGAGCAAGUUUUAGAGUUAAUUAAAUUCUGACCUUUUCCAAAAAGUAUUUUUAAAGAUUGAAUGUGAGGACGAGAGUUAAGCAUUUGGAUUUAAUUAUAUAACCUAAGUCAACAGAGCGAGAGUUUGAGAUAAGGGUGUUUAAAACGGUCAGUAUUUUCUUAAAAAGAGUUUCUGCAACUUUAUUGUUUUCAAAAUAUGGUUUUUGACUUAAUUAUAAGUGACAGCAACAUUAAUAUAAAAUCAUGGUUUAUUCAACAGAGCGAGAGUUUGAGAUAGAACCUUUAACCAAUAAAGUUAACCGAAACGAUUCAUUUUAAAACCAAGAAACCGACAAAGACUUGAUUCCCUAGUUUUGACGAACUACAUACCGAUAUCCGUUUUAUUAAUAUUUAAUCUAGAUAUUAGUUUAGCUCUUAGUUUUUCCCCAAACAAUCAAACAUUUUCACCUUAGAUUUACGUAGUAACCUUAGAUAACGGUAUAUCGAUUCAUAAGUCCCUGUGGGAUCGAUAUCUUUUAAAACUACGCGAUAGAACUGUGCACUUGCAGUUUGUAUCCCAUUCUCGACUCACCCAGUCGAGCGAUCAACCAUCAAGGUAAGCUUGCUUGGAAUUUAGGAUGGAUUUUGCAUUCUCAACAUGGUUAUCUUUCAACCAUCCAUCAAGGUAAAGUUGGUUAGAGUUAGGGGAGGAACUAUCUUUCUCUGCUCAUUCAUCUUUCAACCAUCCAUCAAGGUAAACUUGGUUGGAGUCAAGGGUCAAUUUUGCGUUAAAAGUAUGAGUAUCUUUCAACCAUCAUUCAAGGUAAAAUUGGUUGGAGUUAGGGUUAGAAUUUAAUUUUUCGACUCGGGUAUCUUUCAACCAUCCAUCAAGGUAAACUUGGUUGGAGUUAGUGUUCACUUGUGCUUUCUCAUCUCGGGUAUCUUUCAACCAUCCAUCAACGUAAACUUCUUAGGAGUCAGGGGUGGAUUUUGCUUUCUCAUCUCAAGUAUCUUUCAACCAUCCAUCAAGGUAAGCUUGCUUAGAGUCAGGGGAAGAUUUCUCCUUUUCAACUCGGAUAUCUUUCAGGCACCCAUCAAGGUAAACUUUCUUAGAGUCUAGGGUAGAUUUCUCCUUUUCAACUCGGGUAUCUUUCAACCAUCCAUCAAGGUAAGCUUGGUUGGUGUCAGGAUUAGAUUUUGCUUUCUCAGCUCGGGUGUCUUUCAACCAUCCAUCAAGGUAAACUUGGUUUGAGUCAAGGUUGGAGUUUUCUUUCUCUGCUCGAGUAUCUUUCAACCAUCCAUCAAGGUAAACUUGGUUUGAAUCAGGGUUGGCUUUCACUUUCUCGCCUCUAGUAUCUUUCAACCAUCCAUCAAGGUAAACUUGCUUAGAGUCAGGGGCAAAUUUCUCUUUUUCAACUCAGGUAUCUUUCAACCAUCCAUCAUGGUAAACUUGGUUGGAGUCAGGAUUGACUUUUUCUUUCUCUGCUCGAGUAUCUUUUAGCCAUCCAUCAAGGUAAACUUGGUUUGAAUCAGGGUUGGCUUUGGCUUUCUCUCCUCUAGUAUCUUUCAACCAUCCAUCAAGGUAAACUUGCUUAGAGUCAGGGGCGGAUUUCUCCUUUUCAACUCGGGUAUCUUUCAACCAUCCAUCAACGUAAACUUGGUUGGAGUCAGGAUUGACUUUUUCUUUCUCAGCUCGGGUAUCUUUUAGCCAUCCAUCAAGGUAAACUUGGUUGGAGGCAGGGUUGACUUUUUCCUUCUCACCUCGGGUAUCUUUCAAUCAUCCAUCAAGGUAAACUUGGUCGGAGUUUGGGGAGGAUUUUUGGUUCUUCAAUGGAGUGUUUUUUAGCCACCCAUCAAGAUAAGGCUGAUUACCUUGGUUCAUAUCUCUUGCAAAGCUUACAUGGCCAUUCUACAAUACAAUUCAAUAAAGGGAUAUUAGUUAGUGACAAACUAAUUAUAUGUUUUCGGAUGAUAUAUAUGAUUAAAAAAACACAAGUGUGUGAUGAGACACAUUAUGAUGUAUAGGAAAUAAAUAUUCAUUAUGUAUAUACAGGAGAUAGAUAUAUAAUUUUAAAACAUAAAAAAUAGGAAGUAGAAUAUUUUUAAUUUCAUUACUGCAAAAAACAUCAUAAUUUAGUUUAACUUAUAGAAAAACUCGAUUCUGAGUGUGUUGAAUGCAUGGAAAACAAUAAGGAGAAGGAUCUUAGAGGCAUGCAUAAUUUAGUUAAAUCAUAUAGAAAAACUUGAUUCUUAGUGUGUUGAAUGCAUGAAAAAUAACUAAAAGAAAAGGAUCUUAGAAACUUGCAUGUACAAUUGCAAAUAAAGAUGAAAAUGAUAGAUUAUGAAUAUGUUAAAUUUUAUGAAAUUUAACAUGCAUGCACAAUUGCAAAUAAAGAUGAAAAUGAUAGAUUAUUAUGAUAAAUAGAUGAUGAAAAAUAUAAGUGUUAAAGAUAGAAGAAUGCAUGAGAAGCUAAUAACUCACAAUCAACAAGAGCAUGAGUAAAGGAAGGAGAAACAUAACAACUAUGUGUGUCAUUUCUUUCUAUUAUAUUUUAGUGGGAAAUGUUUUGUUGUGAAAUAUGUAUUGGAGCAGAAGUGAAUUGAGCUAUUUAUAGACAAAUAAGAAGAGAAAGUACAAAUAAACAUUAAUACUUUGUUUGGCAAAAUUAUUUUUUAAGUUUUUAAUUCAUUUCUUAUAUUUUGUCAUGUGCUUAUAGCUCAUUGUUAUGAAUUUAUAGCUUAUUUUGAUAAGUUUUUUCAAGUAGUUUAUAAUUUAUCUUUUUUUUUCUUUCAAUUUUAUCAUUGUAAUCUUAAUUGAAAUAUAUAAAAAAUACUCCUUCCGUUUCUUUAUAAGUGUGAUUUUCUUGUAAAAAAAUUGUUUCUCUUUAAUUGUCACUUGCAAAGUUCAAUAAUUAUUAGAAAGAGAAAAAGUAGAGUGAAUGUAAUAAAUAAUUAAGGAUAUUAUUAUAGAUAAAAGAAUUAUUAUUUAAAAAAUAACAAUAAUAAUUAGUUUCCUUAAUAUGUAUAAAAAAAUAAUAAAAAAAUACUUAAAAAAAAAAGGAGAGAAUAAUAAUUAAACAUAUUUUUUUAUGACAUUUCAUAUUUUCAAACUACAUUAAUUUUGUAAAUUUAAGCGGCUACCUUAUCAGUCAUAUGCAAUAACAAUACUUAUUUUUUUUAUAUAAAAAAAGGCUAACCUUAGAAAAAUGAUGUUUGGACAUAAACAGUACUAUGAAGCACUUAUACACAUUCACAUCUUCAUCAAUUGUUUAUGUGAUCUUUUGUGUAUUUUUAAAAAUUGGUUGUAAAAAGUAGAGGAUAUAAAGAUAAUCACAUAUUACUUUCUUGUUUUCUCCUCUAUUAUCUUAAUUAAAAAAUUACAUUAAUUAAACAUAUUAUAUUAUGUAACGUUAUUUUACAAUUAACGGUAGUCCAACUUUAAUUUUACUAAACAUUAUAGGUUGAUUAUAGAGGAUUGUAAUUUCUUAUUCAAUUCUUAGAUAAGUAUUUAACAUUAAAAUUGUUACAAAAUUGCAAUAAUAGUCUAAUUUUAUUAAAUUCACUUGUGCUAUGUUGGUAGGUGCUUGGUAGUAGGGGGAAACCUUAUCCAAUGUUUCUGAAUGUUGUGCAUGAGACCAGGCUAAUCUACAUCAUGAAGAAACAAUGGAAAUUCUUAACCUUAUCUUAUGUCAUAUACUAAAUCUUAUUCUACCAUUAACAAGUCCUAGAAAUUUACAUUAAUUAAGUUGACUUCAAUUUAAUCCAAUAGAAUAUGAUAUAAACUUAGUUUUUCCAUAAUCUUUGUCUCUAUAGAACCUAUUAUUUUCUUAUCAUUAUCAUGAUUGAACAAUGAUUGAUAUUGGUUCUUUACAUUAUAGAAUUGAGACGAUGUCAGAUAUUCAUUACUACAAACAGAAUUACAAUACAAAAGAUAACCCAUAAAUCACACGUAAUAACACUAAGAUAAUUGCUUUAAACUCCUUACUUAGAGGUCUAACAAACAACUAUCUAAGUUUGAAAAACUAAAGAGACGCCAACACAAUUAUCUCGUUUCUAAAAACAAGACCUUAUUUAGUGCACAACCAAGACCUUACAGGACACCAAAAUUAUAGAAAUUAAAAGCAUAGAAACAACAUGAAAAGUUUUGGGACAGACAUCGACUAACCUAUAUGAACUAGUUUCCUUUUAUUCACUUAGUGGCAUCUGAUGGGGUUGGCACCCAUAAGACAUGCUUAACAGGGAAGAAAUGACAUAAUGGACCUUCCCCAGGCUUCAUUCCAAGUAGGUCAAAUAUAAAAUGAUUAGGAUUCAUGGCAGAUGUGUCUAGGUGGCAAAUUCCCAAAGCAUUCAUUAUGUCUCCAUAUUCACCUUUUAGAAGAACUUUGAAGAUCUUACUCCCUAUGUCUAGGUAGUGGCAAUAGUAAAGUGCAUAUGGGUAAGGCCUAGGGUGACAUGCUACCCAUUUAGGAGCAUAAAUAUCCUUUGAGAUAUCCAAAACUGUGUAGUUCUGCAAAGGUGCACCUGAUGUUGUGGGAUAGCUAGUCGAGUGAAUGUUAUAAUUAGUCUCAGCACCAAUAAUACCAUGAACAAAUUCAAGCAUGGACUCUAAAGAAGUAGGACAAGCCUUGGUCUCCCCUUUAUUGGGUUCAGACUCACAUUGAUUAAUUACGUCUAUCAUGUCUUCACCUUGAGGAGAAUCUUUUGUGAGUGAGAAUAGUUGAAGAAGGCUUGGGCUUUGUGAUUUGGAGACAGGAAUGUCGUCGGCUACUUUUCUUGGCAAGAACGGAGCAUAUUCUCUGAUAGGAAAUUGCAAGGUCAUUACAUUUCCUACAUAAAGAUCAUCUAGACUGAAAAAAGCUACCUUGAAUGCUUCUGUAUGGUCAACUUUUGAAGAUAGUUUUCCAUUCGAUUCUUCCAAGUGUUGUCCAUUUUUCAUGUCGUUCUCUGCAUGCGAGUCUUUUAACCAACCAUCAAGGUAAGCUUGCUUGGAAUUUGGGAUGGAUUUUGCAUUCUCAACAUGGUUAUCUUUCAACCAUCCAUCAAGAUAAAUUAGGUUAGAGUUAGGGGAGGAAUUUUCUUUCUCUGCUCGUGUAUCUUUCAACCAUCCAUCAAGGUAAACUUGGUUGGAGUCAGAGUUAACUAUUGCCUUCUCAGCUCGGGUAUCUUUCAACCAUCCAUCAACGUAAACUUGGUUGGAGUCAGGGGUGGAUUUUGCUUUCUCAUCUCGGGUAUCUUUCAACCAUCCAUCAAGGUAAACUUGGUUGGAGUCAGGGUUGACUUUGACUUUCUCCGCUCUAGUAUCUUUCAACCAUCCAUCAAGAUAAACUCGGUUGGAGUCAGAGUUGGAUUUUGCUUUUUGGACUCGGAUAUCUUUCAACCAUCCAUCAAGGUAAAUUUGGUUGGAGUCAGGGUUGACUUUUUCUUUCUCGGCUCUAGUAUCUUUCAACCAUCCAUCCAGGUAAACUUGGUUGGAGUCAGGGUUGACUUUUUCUUUCUCGCCUCGGGUAUCUUUCAACCAUCCAUCAAGGUAAACUUGGUUGGAGUCAUGGUUGGAUUUUUCUUUCUCACCUCGGGUAUCUUUCAACCAUCCAUCAAGGUAAACUUGGUUGGAGUCAGGGUUGACUUUUUCUUUCUCGGCCCGGGUAUCUUUCAACCACCCAUCAAGGUAAACUUCGUUGGAGUCAGAGUUGACUUUUUCUUUUUGAACUCGAGUAUCUUUCAACCAUCUAUCAAGGUAAACUUGGUUGGAGUCAGAGCUGGCUUUUUCUUUUUGGACUCGGGUAUCUUUCAACCAUCCAUCAAGGUAAACUUGGUUGGAGUUAGGGUUGUGUUUUUCUUUCUCAGCUCGGCUAUCUUUCAACCAUCCAUCAAGGUAAACUUGGUUGGAGUCAGGGUUGCUUUUUUCUUUCUCGGCUCGGGUAUCUUUCAACCAUCCAUCAAGGUAAACUUGGUUGGAUUUUUCUUUCUCAUCUCGGGUAUCUUUCAACCAUCCAUCAAGGUAAACUUGGUUGGAGUCAGGGUUGAUUUUUUCUUUCUCGGCUCGUGUAUCUUUCAACCAUCCAUCAAGGUAAACUUGGUUAGAAUCAGGAUUGACUUUUUCUUUCUCAGCCCGAGUAUCUUUCAACCAUCCAUCAAGGUAAACUAGAUUUGAGUCAGGGUUGACUUUUGCUUUCUCGGUUCGGGAAAGGUAAACUUGGUUAGAAUCAGGAUUGACUUUUUCUUUCUCAGCCCGAGUAUCUUUCAACCAUCCAUCAAGGUAAACUAGAUUUGAGUCAGGGUUGACUUUUGCUUUCUCGGUUCGGGUAUCUUUCAACCAUCCAUCAAGGUAAACUUGGUUGGAGUCAAGGUUGACUUUUGCUUUCUCACCUCGAGUAUCUUUCAACCAUCCAUCAAGGUAAACUUGGUCGGAGUUAGGGGAGGGUUUUUGGUUCUUCAAUGGAGUGUUUUUGAGCCACCCAUCAAGAUAAGGCUGAUCAACUUGGUUCAUAUCUCUUGCAAGGCUUCCAUGGUCAUUCUACAAUACAAUUGAAUAAAGAGAUAUUAACGAGUGACAAACUAAUUACAUGUUUUGGAUGGUAUAUAUGAUUAUAAAAAUACAACUGUGUUAUGAGACACAUUUUGUUGUAUAGGGAAGAAAUCUUCAUUAUGUAUAUACAGGAUAUAGAUACAUAAUUUGAAACCUAAAAAAUAGGAAGUAGAGUAUUUUUAAUUGCAUUACAGAAG
rnacentral:lncRNA from 1 species